AUAGAAGAAAUCCCCAAUCAUCCAUGUACCCAGCCACCGGAAGGACCUAAUCAGCUGACGAUCUCGUUACGUUUUCGAUGAUGUUGCUCGGUCGAUGCUGCGUUGUAGCUAUUGGGUGGUUCUACUGAGCCGCUCAACAGAAUCAUAUAGUAACUUUUGUUGUUUCUGUGUGUUUCGAACCGGUGUAGCAAUCCGCGCAGUCCUUGGAUAGGUUUCGAAAGAAGAGGAAUGCUAGAUGUUUCGAGAACAAAGUUAGAUACCAGGAAGUGGCUUUGAUUUUAUGAUACACCUGCGGACGACUCUUUGAGUUUACCAACUUCUUAGGCCUAGAAUGCCACGUAAUAAAGGUCAAUUAUCCUCUGAUGGGGCUUAUAACUCUGGCACAGAUCAAGACUCUGCACAGGAUGAUAGCCGUCCAGAG